AUGAAUCCAUCAGACGCCAGAGCUGUGCUGCCUACCCAAGAGGCCCCUGCUCUGCGACCCACGUCUGAGCUUCAUCCUGCUUCAGCGGUGGUCCAAGAGGACACAUCGCAUCCUGCUUCGGUGGUGGUCCCGGAGGACGCAUCGCAUCCUGCCUCAGCGGUGGUCCCGGAGGACGCAUCGUAUCCUGUUUUGGCGGUGGUCCAAGAGGACGCAUCGCAUCUUGCCUCAGUGGUGGUCCAAGAAGACUCAUCGCAUCCUGUCUCAUCGGUGGUCCUGGAGGACGCAUUGCAUCCUGCCUCAGUGAUGGUCCCGCAGGACGCAUCGCAUCAUGCCUCAGCGGUGGUCCAAGACGACGCAUCACAUCCUGCCUCGGCGGUGGAGGACACAGAGGCUCUGGUCCAGCCCGUCCACGAGGCUCCGGUUCAAGGGUCGAAGCCUCCUGUCUCGAAGUCGACGCCUCCCGUCUCCGGCUCUGAAGUGGACGUUUCCAGCUCGGAAGUGGACGUCUCCCCGUUUCCUGUCUCAAGUUUCCCAGUCACAAGUGUUCCUGUCUCAACUCUCCCAGUCACAAGUGUUCCUGUCUCAACUCUCCCAGUCACAAGUGUUCCUGUCUCAAGCCUCCCAUUCACAAGUGUUCCAGUCUCCCCGUCUCCUGUCUCAAGUCUCCCCACAAGUUUCCCAGUCACAAGUGUUCCAGUCUCCCCGUCUCCUGUCUCAAGCCUCCCCACAAGUGUUCCAGUCUCCCCGUCUCCUGUCUCAAGUCUCCCCACAAGUGUUCCAGUCUCCCCGUCUCCUGUCUCAAGUCUCCCCACAAGUUUCCCAGUCACAAGUGUUCCAGUCUCCCAGUCGCAAGUGUUCCAGUCACAGUCCCCGUCUCCAGAGACCCUUCCUCGUCCUCCUCCUCCAAAACCCCCUAUCCCCAGGGUUUCCUGGUCCCGCCUCCUGGUUCCCCAUCGCCGGCCUCCUAGGCUUCUCUGGUCCCACCUCCUGGUCCCCCGUCGCCAGCCCCCUAGACUUCUCUGGUCCCGCCUCCUGGUUCCCUGUCGCCGCCCCCCUGGACUUCUCUGGCCCCACCUCCUGGUUCCCUGUCGCCGGCCUCCCGGGAUCUCCUGUUCCCCCCUCGCCCGCCCUUUUGGGGUUGUGUUUUGUUGGUUCCCUCCUCUCCCUCCCUCUGGUUUUUUCGUGUCCUGUGUUGUCUUGUGCUUGUUGUUGUUUGUUCUUGUUUGGGCGUCUGGUAUCCGCCCCUUGGGGGGGGGGCUGUCAUGGUCUGCGUCUGCCCCUUCCUUCAUGUGCCUCCUGGUGUUCUCCAUCCCUCUCUAG
rnacentral:lncRNA from 1 species